GGAUAAUGUCCAGGUUCUCAUGAUGGAGUCAGGAGUUGGUCACCGAACUCCUAAUCUACUCAUCAUAACUCCAUCGUGUUUGGGCUCAAUAGAUUUGCCUUGACGAGCGCCGUCGAUCUAGAUGAGUCACCAGAACUCCUAAUCUACUCAUCAUAACUCCAUCGUAUUUAGGAUUAUUAGAAUUGUCCUGACGAGCACCAUCUAUCUAGAUGAGGUCCAGGGUCUCAUGAUGGAGUCAGGAGUUGGUCACCAGAACUCCUAAUGUACUUAUCAUAACUCCAUCGUGUUUGGGCGCAUUCGAUUUGCCUUGACGAGCACCAUCUAUCUAGAUGAGGUCCAGGUUCUCAUGAUGGAGUCAGGAGUUGGUCACCAAAACUCCUUAUCUAGUCAUCAUAACUAUAUCGUGUUUUGGGUCAAUAGCUUUGCCCUGACGAGCACCAUCGAUCUAGAUGAGGUCCAGCCCAAACACGAUGGAGUUAUGAUGAGUAGAUUAGGAGUUCGGUGACCAACUCCUGACUCCAUCAUGAGAACCUGGAC